GACGAACGCUGGCGGCGUGCCUAAUACAUGCAAGUCGAGCGCAGGAAGCCGUCCGAACCCUUCGGGGGGACGACGGUGGAAUGAGCGGCGGACGGGUGAGUAACACGUAAAGAACCUGCCCAUAGGUCUGGGAUAACCACGAGAAAUCGGGGCUAAUACCGGAUGUGUCAUCGGACCGCAUGGUCCGCUGAUGAAAGGCGCUCCGGCGUCGCCCAUGGAUGGCUUUGCGGUGCAUUAGCUAGUUGGUGGGGUAACGGCCCACCAAGGCGACGAUGCAUAGCCGACCUGAGAGGGUGAUCGGCCACACUGGGACUGAGACACGGCCCAGACUCCUACGGGAGGCAGCAGUAGGGAAUCUUCCACAAUGGACGAAAGUCUGAUGGAGCAACGCCGCGUGAACGAUGAAGGCUUUCGGGUCGUAAAGUUCUGUUGUAAGGGAAGAACAAGUGCCGCAGGCAAUGGCGGCACCUUGACGGUACCUUGCGAGAAAGCCACGGCUAACUACGUGCCAGCCGCCGCGGUAA
rnacentral:rRNA from 1 species